UAUUAAUUCAUUUUGUCAGAUUCAUCUGUUAAGUUAGCAUAAUCCAUCUACAUAUUUAUUUUUUGUUUUUUGGAUGUUGUCCAUUCCUGGAAGAGUAUUGAAUCAUUAUCUGGAAUAGUGUUUUGUCAUAUUCAUUACCAUGUUCUUCAGAAUUUUUACUAAUUUAAUCAGGAUGGCAUGGGCUUCUAUAAGUGCUUUAAGACAAAUCAUACAUAUUUGUUGCUACUGGUUAAGAUACUGGGUGCGAUUUAUGUAAUCUGGUAGUGCGAAUUAUAACUUUGAAGGUUGUUUGGAAGGUUAAACUUUGAUGGGUUUGGGGUCUGUCUAGAAAAGUUCGUCCUUUGUGGUGCUCAGUGGAUAGUAGUAUGGAAUUAGUGGAAUUAUUAUGUAGUUCAUCCUUUGGUAUUUGGAAGUAUGAAUAUUAAGUACCAUGCUUAGUGGUUUGGAAUUAUUGGAAUUUGCUAGAUGUGGAUGCCAUGCUAGAAUUUCUUGAGAAUCUCUGUUUGGUUCUACACCAUGAAAAGCGAAAGAGACCUAGAGGUGGUGGUUAUCAGAAGCAGGCUGUCUAGGGUAAGUCCUAUGGGACUCUUUAGGCGAGACGAGGUGUUUCCUUGUGAAGAAAUUAGGUUCUGGAAGCACCUUCUCAUGUGAAAUUUUCUGUUUGCUUGGAGCUCAUGGGAAGAUUCUCACUAUUGAGAAUUUGAUUACACAAACCAAUGUUGAAUUGGCAUUAUAUUUGUAAGCAAGAUGGAGACUCCAUUCAUCUCUUUAUCCAAUGAGUGUUACUUGGAAGCUCUGGUAACUAAUACUUAUCCUGUUCAGGAUGUAUUGGAUCUUUCCUAGAAGCAUAGACAACAUAAUUGGAUUAAAAAAAGUAGGGAAUUGGAAGUAGUCUUUGGUUUAGGUUUCUUGUUAUGUGAGGGUGGGAGGAACAUGGAUCUUUUGAAGGUUUUGAAAUUUCAACUAAUAAAUGGGGCAUUUUUUUUUUUCUGGCAGUUUUUCAGUUAGCCAACCCCACCUAGUGGGAUUAAGGCUUGUGAUUCUUGUUACUGUUGUCCAGUAGUUAUGUUAAUUGGGUGUUAGCUUUAUGUCCCCCGACAUUGUGCAUUUUAAGAUAUUGUACGGUCUUAGGAGCCUACAAGUAUGUGGUUCCAUUUUAGCUUUUGUUUUAGUGUAUGCAUAUAAUAGACAGCUGUCUUGCUGCUGCUUGUUGUACAUAUAAUCUUUUACCUAUUAACUUGAAUAUUAUUUUUGAUCUAUCAGAUCAAGAAAAAUUUGCAGACUAUUUUUGGUGCUCAAUCAGGUGAGAACAUGUCAUAGAAUUGCAUAGUUCACCUAAUCCUGACUAACAAGCCAACAACAAUAACAUAUCUAGCUUUUAUCCCACUAUGUGGGGUCGGCUACAUGAAUUCUAGACUUCCAUGUAUUUCUGUCUUUUGUCAUAUCUUCAUUUAGGUUUAUACACUUCAUAUCAAACUUUAAUGUCUCUCCCAAAGUCUUCUUGGGUCUACCUCUUUUUUUGAUUAAAUGUUUCAUUUCAUCAACUCUCCUCACAUGAGUGUCUUUUGGUCUCCUCCUCAUGUGAUCAAACCAUCUUAGUCUAUUCUCUCUCAUCUUCUCCUCGAUUGGCAUUACUCCUACCUUAUUACGAAUAACCUCAUUUCUAAUUUUAUCUUUUCUUGUAUGACCGCAUAUCCAUCUUAGCAUCCUCAUCUUCGCUAUGCUCGUCUUUUGCUCAUGCUGGUAUUUGACUGCCCAACAUUCUGAGCCAUACAACAGGGCUGGUCUUAUACCUGUCCUAUAGAAUUUUCCUUUCAGUUUUAAUGAGACCUGACUAACAAGCCAUUAGAGUUAAAACCACAACCUUGCCCUUCUUGCUAGUACUGUGACAACACUUUAACCUUUGAGGCACGUGUUGGUUUCUUGGAACCAUGCAAAAGUGUUUAUAAAAUGUUUUAGGUUUCUCACAAAUCCAAAAUUGAUUGUCGAAGUUGGAGAACAAAAUAGAAGUAAUUUCUAUGCUAAACUUGUAGCUGCCUAGUUUGAGGAGACAAUGAAAGCUCCUCCAUAAAUCUUGAUAUUCAAUUUAGAAUCUUGAAUCUAACUGGAAAGUUAAAUCUGAACUUUUUGUCUCUAAGUAUGUGAAUGUGUGAGGGUGAGCCUUGGUAGGAAUGAUAAAGUUGCUCCGAUGACUGGAAGGUCCCGAUGACUAGAAGGUCACAAGUUGUGGAAAUAGGCUCUUCACCACCCCCCGGCCAAAAAAAAAAAAAAAAAAAGAGCAAGGAGAAGACUUUGUACAAAUAUGACCUUCCUCCAACCCUCACAAAGCAAGGAGCCUCGUACUUUGAGGACGCGCUUAAAGUAUAUUAAUGGGUUUACUUUAUAACUGGCAUUCUUCAAUUUUGUUACUUUGGACAAAUGAGCUAAGGCUGGUGGGAACCAUACAAUCUCUUUGUAUAGUAGAAGAACAAAAAUUAAAAUUUGCCAAAAAAUUUCUCUUUGUAGCCGGCCACAUUUUGAUUCAUGAGGGAGUAAUUUUUUUUUUUGUAAAUAUAAGGGAGUAAAUGUUAGGAUAAGUCUUAUAUUCUAUGUGUAAGUGUGGGAUAUAUACUGUUUCCCAAGUCCUAGCCACUAUGAAUAUAACUUGUUUACAUGUUUGCCCAUAAUAGACAAAUAAGUUAGUUAAUUACCAUCCAUACAUUGUAUGGUUGUAAUUAUUCUCAUAGAACAACUUGGAUAAAUCAAAGUGUAAACCAUUAAGGGACAAGUUCUUUAAUUUUUUAGGGUUUAAGCUUGCUUUUUUACUAGCAGUAUUAAUACCCCAUAUUGGCAUGAGGUUGCCACGUAAUUUAGAUGAGUUUAAAAUACCGAAAAGUUGGUUUGAUAGUAAAAUAAAUCGUCAAAUCGGUGACAGGGAAUGCCUCAGAAUUUAGAUGUCUAAAGAAAAGGGUAUGACAUUGACGAGCAUCUUGAGGCAAGAUUUAUGAUGCCAAAAAGAAUCGGAUCAGAGACAGUUUUUGUUAUAGCUAUGAUUCGACUCGAGAAACCAAAUGAUCGAAAGAGACUUCCGAGAAGUCAAUGGGACCUGAGUAGGUUCAUAUUUAGCAUGAGGAGCAACCUUAAGUGGUUUCGGGAAGAAACAGAGGUAAUUUCGAUCAAAACACGAUCUUACGUAUAUUCGGGCCUAAAUGUAAUUUAUUAAUUUUAGUUGAGGGAGGUCGAAACGAUGGUUUUUCUGAAUCUUUGGGGGAUGAAAUGAAGGUUUUAUAUCUUGUGGGACUUAAUGGAAUUGUUGGAUAACUCAGGUGCUUCAAGGAGAGGGCCAAAAUGCAAAGGAAAUUUUAAGGGGGCCAAAGUGUAAAAUCUGAAACUUCUACACAAGGCAUGGCCUAUCUGAUUGCCGCAUGGCAGCCAAAAAUCUGGUAAUGGGACGACCGAUCUCGUUAGAGCAUGGCCACCUUCGUCCUAGGAAGCUUGUGGGCUACGCAAGGGUCGAUGAUUGGUCGAGAAAUGACCGGAUUUUGCCUGUGAAUAGGCGAUGGUUUUGGCCGAAUAUCGAGCAUCAAGUUUCUCAAGUUUGAGGGUGAUUCGAGGGAAGCCAAUAAGGGGCUUUUGUUCCUUGAGUUAAGAGGGUAAGUUCUGGAAAGUUUGGGUCGAUUUGGUAUAGAAUCGAGCGGGUUUUAAGCAUCGUCGAAAAAUGCAGAAGCUUGUCGGAGCCAAGGUUUAAAACGCUCAAUCGAGGCACCUCCGAUCACUAUUUUGAGCAUCCAAGGGGUGCCCUAGGAUCGAUUCAACUAGAUCUUCGUGGGGGUGUCGUCGGAUUAGCCAUUGGGGGUCACCGAUUGCUGAAGGAGACAACCGGAGAAGGUAAGAAAAAUAAAAAAAAAUAAAAAAAUAGAAGAAAAUUCUGGAAAAAUUGAAAAAUUAUUUUCUGGAUUUUGGUGGAGGAAAAUUCUGGAAAAUAUUGGAGGAAUUAUUUAUUUUGUAAUUUUUGAUGAAAAAAAGGAAAUUAUGAAAAAUAGGAGAAAAAUAUGAAAAAAUUCCAAAAAUUAGUAAUAUUAUUUUAUGAAUUAUUAUGGAAAAAAAUUGAAAAAAUACUUGAGCAGGCAGUUAUUUUAGAAUUUUUGAGAAAAAAAUAGGGAGAAAUUAUGAGAAAAUUAUGGAAAAAAUAGAUAUUGAUAUUCUUUUGAAUGAAUAUGAUGUCUAGGGAUCGUUGAGGCUCGAGGUUGAGCAUUAGUAUGAUUAUUUGAAGACUGACAUGAAAAUCGAGGUUGGCACGAGAAUCGAUGUGGUCUAAGAUACGUUCAAUGUGAGAGUCCUUACCCCAAACUUGAUUUACUGUGAAAGUGGUAGCGCCAGAGGAAAGGAAGUUCUCAAGAUGUAGCUGAUAGCUAUGUAUUAGAUCUUUUGUAGGUCUUUUAUUAUGUAAGAGAUAUUCAGCUAUAGGUGUAUUAUUUUGAUGAUGUCAUGUUAAACAUUGAUGAUACGAUUUCUAUGUUAUGAAUAAAUGAAUUACGAUUGUGUAUUA